CCUANGGGUGGCAGCAGUGGGGAAUAUUGCACAAUGGGCGAAAGCCUGAUGCAGCAACGCCGCGUGAGGGACGACGGCCUUCGGGUUGUAAACCUCUUUUAGUAGGGAAGAAGCGAAAGUGACGGUACCUGCAGAAAAAGCACCGGCUAACUACGUGCCAGCAGCCGCGGUAAUACGUAGGGUGCAAGCGUUAUCCGGAAUUAUUGGGCGUAAAGAGCUCGUAGGCGGUUUGUCACGUCUGCUGUGAAAACUGGAGGCUCAACCUCCAGCCUGCAGUGGGUACGGGCAGACUAGAGUGCGGUAGGGGAGAUUGGAAUUCCUGGUGUAGCGGUGGAAUGCGCAGAUAUCAGGAGGAACACCGAUGGCGAAGGCAGAUCUCUGGGCCGUAACUGACGCUGAGGAGCGAAAGCAUGGGGAGCGAACAGGAUUAGAUACCCGANUANUC
rnacentral:rRNA from 1 species